rnacentral:rRNA from 1 species
CGCCGGCUAACUACGUGCCAGCAGCCGCGGUAAUACGUAGGGCGCAAGCGUUAUCCGGAAUUAUUGGGCGUAAAGAGCUCGUAGGCGGUUUGUCACGUCUGCUGUGAAAUCCCGAGGCUCAACCUCGGACCUGCAGUGGGUACGGGCAGACUAGAGUGCGGUAGGGGAGACUGGAAUUCCUGGUGUAGCGGUGAAAUGCGCAGAUAUCAGGAGGAACACCAAUGGCGAAGGCAGGUCUCUGGGCCGCUACUGACGCUGAGGAGCGAAAGCGUGGGGAGCAAACAGG